UGAGCAAUCUGCCCUUCUCUUUGGAAUAAGCGUUGGAAACGACGUCUAAUGCCGAAUACGACCUCCUUUCGCAUGAUCGGAGGUGGAAAGCUCCGGCGGAGAAGGAUGAGCUCGCGGCCUAUCAGCUAGUUGGUGUGGGUAAUGGCCCACCAAGGCGACGACGGGUAGCCGGCCUGGAGAGGGUGACCCGGCCACACUGGGACUGAGACACGGCCCAGACCUCCGUACGGGAGGNAGCG
rnacentral:rRNA from 1 species